rnacentral:rRNA from 1 species
GACGAACGCUGGCGGCGUGCCUAAUACAUGCAAGUCGAGCGAAUCAAUAGGAGCUUGCUCCUGUUGGUUAGCGGCGGACGGGUGAGUAACACGUGGGCAACCUGCCUGUAAGACUGGGAUAACACCGGGAAACCGGUGCUAAUACCGGAUAAUCCUUUUCCUCUCAUGAGGAAAAGCUGAAAGUCGGUUUCGGCUGACACUUACAGAUGGGCCCGCGGCGCAUUAGCUAGUUGGUGAGGUAACGGCUCACCAAGGCGACGAUGCGUAGCCGACCUGCGAGGGUGAUCGGCCACACGGGGACUGAGACACGGCCCAGACUCCUACGGGAGGCAGCAGUAGGGAAUCUUCCACAAUGGACGAAGGUCUGAUGGAGCAACGCCGCGUGAGCGAUGAAGGCCUUCGGGUCGUAAAGCUCUGUUGUUAGGGAAGAACAAGUACCGGAGUAACUGCCGGUACCUUGACGGUACCUAACCAGAAAGCCACGGCUAACUACGUGCCAGCCGCCGCGGUAAGAC